rnacentral:rRNA from 1 species
UACAGAGGGUGCUAGCGUUGUUCGGAAUUACUGGGCGUAAAGCGCACGUAGGCGGCUUUGUAAGUUAGAGGUGAAAGCCCGGGGCUCAACUCCGGAAUUGCCUUUAAGACUGCAUCGCUAGAAUUGUGGAGAGGUAAGUGGAAUUCCGAGUGUAGAGGUGAAAUUCGUAGAUAUUCGGAAGAACACCAGUGGCGAAGGCGACUUACUGGACACAUAUUGACGCUGAGGUGCGAAAGCGUGGGGAGCAAACAGG